GAGAUAGAAAUGUGGUUUGGGGCUGUUACAGCCUGAAUUCCUCGACUUUCCCUUUUGGGCUCACAUGAGAAUUGUUAGGAGAAUGUGCAUGUGGAGUGCGGGCCCAGCACCUGCUACCGUCUGUGCUGUAAUGGUGGCUGCUCCUAAGAGUCCUCAGUCUCCUCCCCGUUGGGCUUGUGUCUACAGCCUUAUCGGUUGUCAUUCUUCGGAUCCAUUCUCAGUUUAUUUUUCUGGUAUUAGCUGGAGGGACAUCUCCUUAAGCCUGUACUCUACGGCUCAGGAGUCUCAAAACCAGUCCAUUUUGAAGUGAGAGUAUCCCUAAUAAAAAGGUGAGUGUCCCCACUCCUGUGCCUUGUUUUUUUUUUUUGAGACGGAGUCUCGCUCUGUCGCCCAGGCUGCAGUGCAUUGGCAGUAUCUUGUCUCAUUGCAACUUCUGCCUCCUGGGUUCAAGUGAUUCUCCUGCCUCAGCCUCCUGAGUAGCUGGGACUACAGGCACCCGCCACCAUGCCCAGCUAAUUGUUUGUAUUUUUAGUAGAGACUGGGUUUCACCGUGUUAGCCAGGAUGGUCUCGAUCUCCUGACCUCAUGAUCCGCCCACCUCGGCCUCCCAAAGUGCUGGGAUUAUAGGCGUGAGCCACCACACCCAGCCACUCCUGUGCCUUUUGAACCUGAUUUUUACUUCUAGCUGACUCCUCCCUCCGUCCCUUUCUCUCUUUCUUUCUUCCUGAUCUGAUGGUGCUAGAUUUUUGUUUUCCCGUUUGUCUUUGUUUUAUGAAGAUGUGCUCCUUUCCAUUUGUGUAUGUUGAGUACAGACAUAUGCCCUUGCUUGCUUUUUUUUUUUUUUUUUUGAGACAGUCUUGCUCUGUUGCCCAGGCUGGAAUGCAGUGGUGCGAUCUUGGUUCACUGCAGCCUCUACCUCCCAGAUUCAAGCGAUUCUCCUGCCUCAGUCUCUCAAGUAGCUGGGAUUACAGGUGCCUGCUACCACGCCCAACUAAUUUUUUUGUAUUUUUAGUAGAAACGGGGUUUCACCAUGUUAGUCAGGCUGGUCUCGAACUCCUCACCUCAGGUGAUCCAGCUGCCUCAGCCUCCCAAAGUGCUGGGUUUACAGGCAUGAGCCACCGCAACUGGCCCAAUUUUUGUAUUUUUAGUAGACACGGGUUUCACCAUGUUAGGCUGGUCUUGAUCUCCUAACCUCAGGUGAUCCGCCCGCCUUGGCCUCUCAAAAUGCUGGGAUUACAGGUGUGAGCCACCACGUCCGGCUAAUUUUUUUGUAUUUUUAGUAGAGAUGGGGUUUCACCAUGGUGGUCAGGCUGGUGUGGAACUCCUGACCUUAGGUGAUCCACCUACCUUGGCCUCCCAAAGUGCUGGGAUUACAGGCAUGAGCCACAGCCCCCAGCAUCCCUACUCAUUCUUUGAAAAAAACAAUUUGUUGUUGUUUUGUAGAGACAGGGAUUUGCUGUGUUUCCCAGGCUGGUCUUGAACUCCUGGCCUCAAGGGAUCCCUUCUGCCUCAGCUUCCUAAAGUACUGGGAUUACAGGUGUGAGCCACCGCGCCUAGCCUCCCUAUUCAUUCUGCAAGUAUCAGUCUUUUUACUUUUGAUAGGACAUGUUGAAGUUUUGAUUAAAAAUAGAAGAGGAUUUGAAAAUGAAGUUCAAUUCUAGAGGUUUUCGAGAUUCCUGCCCAAUAUAAAAAACUUCUGAUACAUUAAAACAAUUUUUUUAUACUUCAUUUUUUAGAGCAGUUUUAGGUUCUCAGCAAAAUUGAGAGAAAAGUACAAAGAGUUCCUAUAUACCCCUUCCGUUGAUAUUUUAAGUAAUAAUUUCCCUUACAUGGCUGCAAAGACUAUAUAUAUAUUUAUAUGUAUUUACUUGUAUAUAUAUUUAUACUUAUAUAUAUUUUUAUAUUUAUAUAUAUAUAUUUUUUGAGACGAAGUCUUCCUCUGUCACCCAGGCUGGAGUGCAUUGGCGCAGUAUCGGCUCACUGCAAGCUCCGCCUCCCGGGUUCACGCCAUUCUCCUGCCUCAGCCUCCGGAGUAGCUGGGACUAUAGGCGCGCGCCACCACGCCCAGCUAAUUUUUUGCAUUUUUAGUAGAGACGGGGUUUCACGGUGAUAGCCAGGAUGGUCUCCAUCUCCUGACCUCGGGAUCUGCUCACCUUGGCCUCCCAGAGUGCUGGGAUUACAGGCUUGAGCCACCGCGCCGGGCCAAGACUAUAUAUAUAUUUAUUCAAGACCUGAAGUAGGCUUUCUGGGUAGAUCUGAUCAUUGGAGAAGGAGGAACAUAUUUAUUACGAGAUACUAAGCAUUGUAGUAGUCAUCAUUUGAAGCCUAUAAACUCUAUAAACUGCAUAGUUUAGAAAGUGCCUUAGCUUGUUUGAGCCUUUACAGCAACUCUGUCCUGUAUUAUUAUAACCAUUUUACAGAUGAGUAAGGUAAGACCCAGAGAGGUUGUGGCUUAAGGUCAAAUGGCUGCUGGCCAUCAGGACCUUUUAAAAGCAGGUGUUUUGACUUCUAAAUCCUUUGCUUUUUCUACUUUGCCAGACUGGUUUUCUGGAAGAGACUGAUGAAGGCAUAAUCUUUCACACUGUGACUUCCCCUUAGUAGUUCCUCCAUAAACAUUUACAGAAUGAAUGAAUGAAAUGUGCAUUUAAAAACUUUAAUGUUACUAAUUACAAAAUUUGUUACUAUAAUAUGUUACUAUUCACUAAAGUUUGUGUGGGGUACAUUUUAAUAAAGUCGUUUAUUUUAUUUUCUAGUAUAAAGACAUGCUAUUUUUAAGACACGAAAACAGCACAGACGUAUUUAAAGUGAAAAGUAGAAGUCAUUCCCUUCCUCUCUGAUCCUUAAUCGUCAGUUUGAUGUGUGUCUUCUAUGCUUUUUUCCACUGGAGUAUUUUGUUGUUGUUGUUCCGUUGUUUCAUAAUAUGGUCUGUUGUAUCUAGUCACUCAACUUUAUUGAGCAAACCUUGUUUUCAAAAUUAUUGAAAACAUCCACUGAAGUCAGUUUUCUUAGGUUUACCUAAUUUUGCCAGGGAAUGAAGCAGAUAUUCUGGAGAUUAAAGUGGCUUAUCAGGAUCCAGUGUGCAGGGGAUUGUGGAAGUGCUGUCACAACUUAUAACAUGUUGUCCAAACAGUUUUUUUUUUCCUUAAGAAAUAUUUUGGGCCAGGUGCAGUAAGUGACUCACGCCUGUAAUCCCAGCAAUUUGGGAGGCUGAGGCAGGCGAAUCACUCAAGCUCAGGAGUUUGGGACCAGCCUGGGCAACAUAGCAAAACUCUUUCUCUACAAAAAUACAAAAAUUCGCUGGGCAUGGUGGUGCUCUCCUGUAGUCCCACCUACUUGGGAGGUUGAGGUGGGAGGAUCGCUUGAACCUGGAAGGUGGAGAUUGUAGUGAGUCGAGACUGUGCCACUGCACUUCGGCUUGGGUGACAGAGCGAGACUCUUACGUCAAAAAGGAAAAUAUAAGAAAUAUUUUGAAGACUUCCACCCCCUUAGUGGUAGUCAUGCUGUCCGGUGUUCAUAUUGUAAAAAGAGGUCUGGCUGGGCGUGGUGGCUCACACGUGUAAUCCCAGCACUUUGGGAGGCCGAGGUGGGUGGAUCACCUGAGGUCAGGAGUUUGAGACCAUCCUGGCCAACAUGGUAAAACCCCAUCUCUGCUAAAAAUACAAAAAUUAGCCGAGUGUGGUGGCGGGCACCUUUAAUCCCAGCUGCUCGGAGAAUAGCUUGAACCCGUGGGGGCAGAGGUUGCUGUGAGCCAAGAUCACGCCACUUCACUCCAGCCUGGACGAAAGAGUGAAACUCCAUCUCAAAAAACAAAAAAGGAGGUCUGAUUCACAUUCAGAUUCUUGUCCAUCCAUUGCCUUUGCACUAGAUUUAUGAGAGGACAGACUUUUUAUUAGUUGGAGAUUGGUAAGUCACCUGCCCUAGGGAAUAAUGAGAAACUGGGUAAUUAACCUGAAUUUUUCUCCAUCUUCUUCAAAAUCAUGUUUUUGUCUUCUGUCACUUUGUUUCGUCAGAGUACUGCAAUGGCAAAAAACAAAACACUUCCCAACUCAGGUCCCACUCCUGAGAGAUAACCACAUUUAACUACUUCUGACUUGUAAUAAAAUGCAAAAUCAGGGCUUCCAAGUGUGGUUUACUAUUUUGUUUAGAAUUAAUUUGCAGAAUACUAGACACUUUUUUUCAGAACCACAUAUGAAGGACUUUAUAUCUUUUGUGAUUGUUCACAGAUUUUGCUGGCCGGACGUUAGGAGUAUAGAGCUGAAGAGAGAAUUCCUGUGCUUUAGAGGUUUGCUGGGUAGUGAGGGAGAGAAGCAGGCUAAUGGCUGGGUGCAUCCAGUUUUAGGGUGGUUAAUUCCUGUAACACAAGUGUGAACAACAUAGUCAAGAACAUUCAUUCAUUCGUUUGUUCAUUCAUUCAGCAAAUAGUUACGGAGUGGCUGCUGUGUACCAGGCACUGAGGAGGGAGUGAUGAGCGAAAACAGGCAUUGUUUCUCUCGUGGAGGAGUUUAUGGGUCCAUUGAGGAAGACAGCUUGCUAAUCAGAUAAUCACAGUUACGUACAUGUCACUCCAAACUGAGAGAUGUUUCCCAAAGGAAGGGAACACAGUCUGAAGUCAGAGAAUGGUUCCCGUGGAAGUGACGCGUUUACAGCAUGAGACAGUGAGGACAGCAUGUGUGGUGGACCUUUGGCUGGAGGAAAUUUGGAGCACUUUGGAGAACUCAGCAAGGACUUGUGUGUCUUGGGCACAGAGCUGAAGGGGAGGGACAGACGCACCAUCCAACCUUGCAGCCUUUGUUAGAUGUCACUGUCUUUAUUCUGAGAAAAGUGUGGAAGAGGGGGUGGUACAACAUUUGACCGUGGAACCUCAUAAUCACAUUGCCUUUUGGGAUCAUACUCUGCCCAGUGAAGAAUAGACUCACGGGGUCGCAGUGGCCGUAAGGAGAUCAUUUAGGGCAGGGUCCUUGGACUUUUGACUCGGAGGGUGCCGUGGAGGUGGAGAGAAGUUGCGUGACUCAGGAGUUAGGUAUAAGGUGUUUCAAAAAAGGAGGAGAGUGGGACUGAAUGUUGGGCAAAGCUGGGAAGAUGUCUCUUCUAGAACGGUGACAUUUGAGCUGGAGUUUUCCAGGCAGAGAAGCACACGGACAAGGGCGUGUGGAGGAGAAUGUGCAGAGGAACUGUCUCAAAGCCUGCAGCCUGUUUGGGAAACAGAUAGAUUUGUGGCUGAAAUGGUGUGUAGGGUGAAGUGGUUAGCCGGGAGUCUGGAGAGGAGAAAUAAAGAGUUUGAUAAUCCAAGCUCAGGACUGAGUUAAGUUGGUAGCAACACUCUGUGUGUUAAGAUUGCUGGUUGAGGCCGGGUGCGAGGCUCACGCCUGUAAUCCCAGCACUUUGGGAGACUGAAGUAGACGGAUCACUUGAGGUAAGGAGUUUGAGACCAGUCUGGCCAACAUGCUGAAACCCCAUCUCUACUAAAAAUGCAAAAAUUAGCCGGGCAUGGUGGCGCAUGUCUGUAAUCCCAGCUACUUGAGAGGCUUAGGCAGGAGAAUCGCUUGAACCCGGGAGGCAGAGGUUGCAGUGAGCCAGACUGUGCCACUGCACUCUAGCCUGGGCAACAGAGCAAGACUCCAUCUCGGAAAAAAAAAAAAAAAGAUUGCUGGGUUGAGUUGAUUGUGCAGGGGUCUUACUUAGAUGCUUCGAAAGUUGUCAGGGAUUUGAUUCUUUAGGCUCUCCUCCAUAGCUGGGACUCUACUCUCUGCUCAUUUUGGCAUCUUAAGCCUCAUAACUUUGAGGGGAAAGAAGUAGGGCAUUUCUUUUGGGGACUUCUGAGACAGAUUAAUGUGAGGCAAGUAGCCCUUCAGUGUCCUCAGUGAUAAUUGGAUAGAGUAGUUGGGGAAGGUCAUUUAGGGACAUAUUCCCUUUAUUUUGAGGGGGAGGCACCUUUAAAAACAAGCAUCUGUCCCUUGAUUAUAUUCGUAGAAAAUAUUAAGAAAAACUUAGGUGACUUGUUACCUUAUUUUAAAUGUUUCCUGUAGUACUUUUGGUAGUAAACUUUAGAAAUUUGGAAUCAUUGGAUUUAACAGCAUUUUUAGGUUUGUGAUCCUCGAGUGCCCUCUUCUAAUACCAGAAUCACCUGGCACCCUGGGUGCCACCAAGAGGCACUGAGUAAGGAUCCCUGUGAGCAGGUCCCCAGGCCGUCUCAGCCAGGCUCAGGUUGCAGAUCGUCUGCAUGGGUUUGUGUACAGCUUUUUUUGUUUUAACUUGUUGAGCACUUUCCCAUGAAUAGCAAUAACGAAAUCGUAUUUUGGACAAAGUGUUACAUCUCCAGUCUAGGUUAGGUGUGAACAACAACAAAAAUAUGAAUUGUGCCCCUCACUCUGAGUGUGAUCCUCACUUAUUUUAGCGCUGAGUGGAAUUGUGGAACAGUUGUGAGCAGACGAGAAACCUGACAUUAUGCCACUUUGAAGAGCUGUCAUGUUGUGUCUUCAGAACGAGAUUUCAGUUUGGUUUGGCAUUCAUUAAGUCCAUGAUUAUGCCUUUUAAACUAGCAUUUACCCAGCACUUGCUCUGUGCCAGGGCCCGUGUUGGGAUUUAUAAGUUGCAAAAAACAUGUUUUUAAAAAUGUAAGUACACAUGUGUUCCCCAGAACCUGAAGAGCUGCUCUGGCCGUUGCUCUGCACCCCACAUCUUGAAAUAGGACUCUUGUGGACAGCAUGGGAUCAGCACACUCCCCCACAGCUCAGUGUAACUGUGAGCAUCUGAUGUCCCAGAGAACUGGAACUUUAUAAUUCAUCCUGAAGCCUGGUUGUCACCAUCUCUGAGGAUGUGUGCAUAGCAUUAAGCCAGUUUACCAUCGGGAGUUCCUGCUCUCUUUUGCUGUUGUUGCUCAUGGAUUCGUCAGAUCUCAAGAGCCUUAACUUAAUCUUCAGCAUUGUUUUUUAAGGACUGCAGCGUAUUCACAAGUUAUAGUUUCUGCAUACUAAAAAUGUAUUAUCCCAGGGCUAGUUUCCCCCACGAUGGCGGAAUGGCCACAGCAGUUGCAGGCUUCACAUUUGGGCACAGCCUCCGUCACACCAACCUGACCAAGAGAAUAUGCCAGUUCCUCCUGGACUCCUCAGACUGGAAGAUUGUCCUUUCUCCUUGGCAAAUCAUCUGUACUAUCUGAUUGCAUCUUACAGUCUUCUUUAAAUAUUAUAGUUCCUUAACUGUUAAUGUGUCUGUGCCUUGAGGUCAGCCUCAGGUUCCAAUCCUGUUCAUUUUGUUUGUGGAAUCUCAGGCAAGGUUGGUUUCUCUGAACUUUUAAAGUUUUUUCAUCUUCA